rnacentral:lncRNA from 1 species
AGGGAUAUGCUCUGCUGUCAGGCUGCUGAAUUGGGGUGUGCCUCCUAGUGGACUCUGAAGGGCCAGCCUCUAGAUCUGAAAUAAAAUGGAUGUCUGGAGAUGCUGCCCUGAUGUCAUGGAGAGGAGAUGAAGGACCUUCUUCCUCAGCUCUGUCCUCAACUCUUUCUUCUGCACCCUUAAUCCAACCACCAUCAGUCCUAGUAAAUCUCAUGCGGUGCAAAGUAUGUUGGUUGAUGGUGUCAGAGUG